rnacentral:lncRNA from 1 species
CUCGCUCUGUUGUGCAGACUGAAGUGCAGUGGUGUGAUUUCAGCUAACUGCAGCCUCAUGCCUGGGCUCAAGUGAUCCUCCCACCUGAGCCUCCCACCUGAGCCUCCCAAGUAUCCGGGACCACAGGUGCAGGCCCACGCCUGGCUAAUUUAAAAAAUGGUUUUUGUGUGUGUGUGUGUGUGUGUGUGUGUGUGUGUGUGUGUGUGUGUGUGUAGAUGGGGGUCUCGCUAUGUUGCUCAGGCUAGUCUCGAACUCCUGGGCUCAAACCAUCCUCCCCACCCAUCUUCCUGGGAUUCCAGACGUGAGCCACAGUGCAUUUAGCACUAUAGACAAAAAGAGUCAGAAAUGGCAGGGCCCUUAGAGAUAUUCCACUACAUUUCCUCCGAGAGUGGGCAGGGAUGCUCCAGCUAAGGUCACACAGCCAGUAAGUGGCAGACCCUCUUUUCUUGCUCCUUGUUUUGUCCAGGAGAGGUGGGAGGGGGUCACUUCAGCCAGUUAGGCCUUGCUCUUUGAGGCUCUUUUAAUCCUCCAGCGAAGAGACAUAAUGGGAAAAAUAAUGCAGAAGCAGGAGAGUAGAGUGAGGAGUCCUGGUGCUGAGAGGCCUCCCCUUUCCUUGGGAGUCCUUAGCGGGCUAGACUCUGUCACCUCCGAGGGGUCCACCUGCUUCGAGCACAUAGAGGGAUCUGGGCCCAGGCCUGGAGCCCAGUAUCCUUUCUCCAGGCUGUGCUCCCUGCCUGGCUCCUGUGAACCUCCACCUUCUCUCUCAUUCCUCUUCCGCGCUGCAGGCUCGGCUUUCUCCAGGGCAGCAGGGUUGGGCUGGGAUGUAUGAAAGCACUCUCAAAGCUGGCCACGCGGAGAGCAGAGUAGGCAGGCUCUUGGCCUUAUGAGCACAGGACUGUUCCUCAGACCCCCAGAGCUGCUAACAGCUGCAGCUGCCCCCGGAGAUGUUCUCAGAGCUUUGUCGACUCAGCUUUUGCCAAUUCAAGCAGGAUCUGAUUCCCAUGUUCUCUCGGGCUCCUCUGUCCUGUCUGUAAGUGGGUGCAGACAGCCUGUUUCCCCGAAGGAAGCCAGCCAGGGUUGCAGUCCUACUCAGGCUUACUUUGCGCCUGUAUAAACAUGGGAAUGACCCCGGUGGAAGACCUUUGCCAAAGGUAGAGGCUCUUCCUCAGUGUAUACAUGGACUGUCCCCAUGUCAGGUGAAUUUCCUGUAGGAUAUUUGUUAACAAAGAAAAUAGAGCGUCAUGUUUCAGAUUUUUCUCAGAUGACUGUAAAGCCCUAUAUGGGUUACAGGGCAUAUUGUCAGGAGCAUGGCUUUAGACUUGGAUGGGCUUGAACUUGAAGCAGGAUCCUGCUGCUCACAUGUACUGGACAAGUUAUACCACGUCCCAGUUCCUCUUUGGUCUUCUCAUUCCUCAUCUUCAAUGGGAAUCUUACCUUCCUCAUUAGUGGCUGUGAGGAUUCUGGAGAAUGUUAUGGAAAUGGCUGGCACAUUUUCCAUAGUGGUACGGAAAGUAGUAGGCACUACAUGGCAUAUGAAACAUCAAGCAGUGUUUUUGGCCAACUAUGUAGUAUAUUCAUAUAAUGGCAUAUUAUGUGGUAGUAAACAAAGGAACUAGAGCUAUAAGUGUCAAUGUGGAUUACUCUCACAAACAUAAAAUUGAGCAAGAAAUAAGUUACAGACUGAUUCUGUUCAGAAUGAUACCAUUUAUAGAAAGGUUAAGAAGAUCAUGUAAAAUAGUGCUACAGAUCACAAGGAUAUAUACUGUGUCAGGAGGGGAAGAGAUGCAAGGGGGUGAUGAGCUCUGGUUUCUAGGUGGUGGUUGCCUCUGAUGGGAAGAGGGGGGAUGUGAUUGGGAAUGGCUGCCUUGGGGCUGGUGCCUUGUGGCUUCCACUGUUGUUUUGCAGUGUUUUAUUUCUUGGACUGGGUGGUGGGUGCAUCAGUGUUUGUUGUGUUAUGCCAUCCAUCUUUUUUUUUUUUUUUUUUUUUGAGACAAGAGUUUUGCUCCUGUUGCCUAGACUGGAGCGCAAUGGCGCGCUAUCAGCUCACUGCAACCUCCGCCUCCUGGGUUCAAGUGAUUCUCCUGCCUCAACCUCCCAAGUAAGUGGGAUUACAGGCAUGCGCCAUCACGCCUGGCUAAUGUUGUAUCUUUAGUAGACACGGGGUUUCACCAUGGUGAUCAGGCUGGUCUCAAACUCCUGACCUCUGGUGAUCCACCCGCCUCGGCCUCCCAAAGUGCUCAGAUUACAGGCACGAGCCACUGUGCCUGGCCGCUAUCCAUCUUGUUGUAGGUUCAGAGUAUUUCUUUUUUUUUUAAGAAAAGGAAAUAUUUUCCUUUGGGUUACUGACAAUGGAGGAAUAUUUUGACAUGUAAAAUUAAAUUGGUCACAGAGUAAGAUAAUACCUGAGGCCUCGAGUGUUGGCUAUUUACAACAAUGGAAAUGGAAACAGGCAAGGCU